rnacentral:rRNA from 1 species
UACAGAGGUCUCAAGCGUUGUUCGGAUUCAUUGGGCGUAAAGGGUGCGUAGGUGGCGUGGUAAGUCGGGUGUGAAAUUUCGGAGCUUAACUCCGAAACUGCAUUCGAUACUGCUGUGCUUGAGGACUGGAGAGGAGACUGGAAUUUACGGUGUAGCAGUGAAAUGCGUAGAGAUCGUAAGGAAGACCAGUGGCGAAGGCGGGGUCUCUGGACAGUUCCUGACACUGAGGCGCGAAAGCCAGGGGAGCGAACGGG